CCCUUAGACGUUCUGGGCCGCACGCGCGUUACACUGACCAGUGCAACAAGCAUCCGUCCUUGGCCGACAGGCUCGGGCAAUCUUUGAACGCUGGUCGUGAUGGGGAUAGACUUUUGCAAUUUUUGGUCUUCAACGAGGAAUUCCUAGUAAACGCAAGUCAUCAACUUGCAUUGAUUACGUCCCUGCCCUUUGUACACACCGCCCGUCGCACCUACCGAUUGAAUGGUCCGGUGAAGCCUCCGGAUUGGCGCGCACCUCGGUGCCGCCGAGAAGUUGGCUAAACCUUACCAUUUAGAGGAAGGUGAAGUCGUAACA
rnacentral:rRNA from 1 species